ACGUUACAAAAGCAUAUACGUAAUAUAUGGUGUCAUAUAAAACGGCUGAAGAGGACUUUAAUUGGUCCUAGAACGGCCUGAGGUAGAGGGGUUUUAGUCGGUAGGUCCGAGGACUUUUUCCUCGGGAAUCCGACACCACCUAGUCGUACGGACGGCUGGGUGUCUUUUGAAGAUUUCCCCUCUUCCACUAAA
rfam:Agrilus planipennis Contig19059, whole genome shotgun sequence.